GAUGAACGCUGGCGGCGUGCCUAAUACAUGCAAGUCGAGCGAACGGACGAGAAGCUUGCUUCUCUGAUGUUAGCGGCGGACGGGUGAGUAACACGUGGAUAACCUACCUAUAAGACUGGGAUAACUUCGGGAAACCGGAGCUAAUACCGGAUAAUAUUUUGAACCGCAUGGUUCAAAAGUGAAAGACGGUCUUGCUGUCACUUAUAGAUGGAUCCGCGCUGCAUUAGCUAGUUGGUAAGGUAACGGCUUACCAAGGCAACGAUGCAUAGCCGACCUGAGAGGGUGAUCGGGCACACUGGAACUGAGGCACGGUCCAGACUCCUACGGGAGGCAGCAGUAGGGAAUCUUCCGCAAUGGGCGAGAGCCUGACGGAGCAACGCCGCGUGAGUGAUGAAGGUCUUCGGAUCGUAAAGCUCUGUUAUUAGGGAAGAACAUAUGUGUAAGUAACUGUGCACAUCUUGACGGUACCUAAUCAGAAAGCCACGGCUAACUACGUG
rnacentral:rRNA from 1 species